rnacentral:rRNA from 1 species
UAAGCACGAAACUUGCCCCGAGAUGAGUUCUCCCUGAGACUAUAAGUCUCCUGAAGGAACGUUAAAGACGAUGACGUUGAUAGGCCGGGUGUGUAAGCGCAGCGAUGCGUUGAGCUAACCGGUACUAAUGAACCGUGAGGCUUAACCUUACAACGCCGAAG